UUAAGUUCAGCGGGUAGUCCUACCUGAUUUGAGGUCAAAUUGUCAUUUGUAUUGUCCGAGAGGACGGUUGUAAGCAGCGCAAAGACCCAUUGAAAGCAGACAUCCACGGCGUAGAUAAUUAUCACACCAAUAGACGGUCCACUGCGGGGCGCCAGCUAAUACAUUUAAGGGGAGCAGACUAAUGAAAGCCAGCAAAAGAC
rnacentral:misc_RNA from 1 species